AUCAAUUCUGCUUUUAUUACCCUGCUCCCUAAAAAAGAUACGCCUCUGGAGAUGCGAGAUUUCAGGCCUAUUUCUCUUGUGCAUAGUGUGCCAAAGUUGGCCUCUAAAGUCCUGACUAAUCGGCUCAAGGUUUGGAUUCCACAGUUGGUUCACUCACUACAAUCUGGGUUCCUGAAGGGCCGUUCCAUAGUCAAGAACUUUGCUUUGGCUACUGAAAUGGUCCAGUAUGCGCACAAAAGAAAGCUGCCGGUCAUUGCCCUAAAGCUGGACUUUCAUAAAGCCUUUGACAGUGUCAGUUGGUGUUGCUUACGCAAGAUUUUUGAUGCCAGAGGUUUUCCGACAGUGUGGAUCAAUUGGAUACACACCCUCUUGACUUCUGGCAGCUCCAGAGUGCUUCUCAAUGGUGAGCUGGGGGACCCCAUUCAGGCAAAAAAAGGCUUUCGGCAAGGGGAUUCUUUAUCACUGUAUUUAUUCAUUCUUGUUGCCGAUGUGCUCCAAAGGAUGCUCUGUCAGUUGUUUCAAAAUGGCUCGUUGGUGCAUCCCCUUGGCUCAGACUGCUUUUUCCCGGUCCUACAAUAUGCAGACGACACGCUACUACUCUUCCAUGGUAGCAUUCAGCAAGCAGAGCUAAUUGAGUCUGCUCUCACGGCCUUCUCCGGUUGUACAUAUUUGGGCCUACCCCUCUCCUUGCACAAGAUAACACAUGGUAUGUUGCUGCCAGUUAUCCAUAAGGUUGAUCGUCGCCUCUCCGGUUGGCUGGCUACCUUCUUAUCCUUGGGAGGGCGGCUGACUCUCAUUAAUUCGGUGCUUGCGGGUAUUCUGAGUUAUUUCAUGUCUUGCUUUGCUUGGCCUAUGGAAUCUCUUGGCAAGUUGGAAGGUCUGCUGCGUGCUUUCUUCUGGCAAGGAAAAAAUACAGUUAAGGGAGGGCAAUGCUUAGUUGCUUGGGACACGGUCUCUCUACCUCGUCUCAAUGGCGGCCUGGGUGUACGACAGCUC
rnacentral:rRNA from 1 species